UAUCUCUGUAGAGUCUGCAUAUCAAUAAGCGGAGGAAAAGAAACUAACUAGGAUUCCCUUAGUAACGGCGAGUGAAGCGGGAAGAGCUCAAAUUUGAAAUCUUCAAGGUUCUACCUUGACGAAUUGUAGUUUAAAGAAGUGUUUUCUGUUGGAGUUUUGGUAAAAGUUCUUUGGAAUAGGACAUCAUAGAGGGUGAGAAUCCCGUAUUUGACCAUUAUUUCCAGCUUUGUGAUACACUUUCAAAGAGUCGGAUUGUUUGGGAAUGCAGUCCAAAAUGGGUGGUAGAUUUCAUCUAAAGCUAAAUACUGGCGAGAGACCGAUAGCGAACAAGUACCGUGAGGGAAAGAUGAAAAGAACUUUGAAAAGAGAGUUAAACAGUACGUGAAAUUGUCAAAAGGGAAGCGUUUGACACCAGUGUUGUUUUUCCAAAAAUCAAUUACGAAUGGCUUGAUUUUGUGUUGUAUUGACCUUAUCAGCUUUCUGCACUUUUUUCGAGUCUUUCUUAAUGCACUUUUCGGUUAACAAGUCAACAUCAAUUUCUUUUGUUGUAAAAGAGUAUUCGGAAGGUGGCUUUCUUUUCGGAGAAAGUGUUUAUAGCCCUAUACUUCUACAAUCGGAGAGAUUGAGGUCUGCAGCGUAGAUCCUUCGGGGUAGAUACACUUGUGCUAAGUUGUAGCUUUUCAUAGACAACUUGUUGACUAUGUUUAGUCAUGCGGCUUACUCGCUUAUGCUAUUUUACCUACGCUUAGGAUGUUGAAGAUGUAGCACAUCAU
rnacentral:rRNA from 1 species